GAAAAUAACUAUGAUUCCCUUAGUAACGGCGAGUGAACAGGGAGAAGCCCAAAUUUGUAAUCUGGCACUUUUUACAAGUGUCCGAGUUGUAAUUUGUAGAACUGUUAUCCGUCCUGGACCAUGUACAAGUCUGUUGAAAAGCAGCAUCAUUGAAGGUGAAAAUCCUGUAGAUGAUAUGGACUACCAGUACUUUUGUGAUACGGUUUCUAAGAGUCGAGUUGUUUGGGAAUGCAGCUCAAAGUGGGUGGUAAAUUCCAUCUAAGGCUAAAUAUAAGUGAGAGACCGAUAGCAAACAAGUACCGUGAGGGAAAGAUGAAAAGAACUUUGAAAAUAGAGUUAACAGUACGUGAAAUUGCUGAAAGGUAAACGUUUGAAGUUAGUUUUGUAUUCGUUAGAUCAGCUUCGCAAGGAGUGUAUUCUGAUGAUAAGCAAGUCAACAUCAGUCUAUGAGUGUCGGAGAAGGGUUUUGAGAAUGUAGCAAUUUAAUUGUGUUAUAGCUUGAGACUUGGAUACGAUGCUUUGGAUUGAGGAACGCGUAGUAAGCUUUGAGCGGAUUCGAAAGGAUCUCCUUACUAUGGAUGUUGGUGAAAUAACUUUAAGCGACC
rnacentral:rRNA from 1 species